CUUCGCGUCACCACGGGAACGGCGGGGCGGGCGGGGCGUCCCGGACACAGCCCUCAGGGGGUCUGAGGGGUUGAGGGAUCUCCAGUGGGUUUGACAGGGCUCUGAGGGAUCUGCAGUGGGUUUGACAGGGCUCUGAGGGAUCUGCAGUGGGUUUGACAGGGCUCUGAGGGAUCUGCAGUGGGUUUGACAGGGCUCUGAGGGAUCUGCAGUGGGUUUGACAGGGCUCUGAGGGAUCUGCAGUGGGUUUGACAGGGCUCUGAGGGAUCUGCAGUGGGUUUGACAGGGCUCUGAGGGAUCUGCAGUGGGUUUGACAGGGCUCUGAGGGAUCUGCAGUGGGUUUGACAGGGCUCUGAGGGAUCUCCAGUGGGUUUGACAGGGCUCUGAGGGAUCUGCAGUGGGUUUGACAGGGCUCCAGAGACUCUGACGUGACUCAAUUGCUCUGGAAGGGCUCCAGAAGGUCUGAGGCGGCUCUGGGUCUCUGAGAGGGCUGCAAGCCCCAACCUGAUCUCCACACAAGGAAGAAAAUCCAUCUCCUUUUCCUGGCUUUAAUGUUUUGAAUUGCUGAUAAAAUAGAGGGACUGCAGAGUAACUUAAACAAGCAAUACAAUCUAGGGGGCAUAUAAGUCAGUUAGUCCCACACUAAUGAGGCACAUUUCAAAGUUAUUUGUCAUUUAGUGUAAAGUUUCAUGGCAUACUGCUGGGAUCCUCCACAGCCUCACCUGCUCCUCUCCUACUCACAGCAUUUCAACAUUACACUGUCCACGUGUCACUUACUUACAGAAAUUAGAUUAAAUUAUUCCAUCAAUCUGACUCUGUCCUUUCAAAAUCUAUGUCCUUAAGAUAAAUAGAAAUUUACAAAAUAAUUUUACAAUUUUACUCAACAGGAGAGGUCCAUGAAUAGUACCUGACGCCCUGAAUCACGCUUGUCUCACUUCCCCCCAGACCACCCCCACCAAACUGAGCGGUGUAUCACAGGGCCAGGAACACAGUAAUGACAGGACAGGGCCAUUCCCUCAGCCCCAGGUGUGCAUCAUCAGGGCCAAGUCGAAGAGAAGGGACAGUGCAUCUGUCAAGGCAAGCGGAUUUGGGGGCUGUGCUGAAGGUUACAGUAUUUAUCACCGUGGCAGAAUUUCAUCCGGAUCCUGGGAGCACUUUGCCUGGCACAGUGAUCUUUAUAGUGGCUCCCAUCAGGAAACUGUCUCAAACAGCUGCCAUGAACUGUCCUGGACAUAUAGAGAGCUCACAACUUGCCAACUUGCCUUCUUUUUUUUUUUUUUUUUCCCUCUGGAAAAUGCCUUAG
ensembl:lncRNA